rnacentral:rRNA from 1 species
CGGGGUGGAGUAAUGCUUGGGAAUCUAGCUUAUGGAGGGGGAUAACUACGGGAAACUGUAGCUAAUACCGCGUAGAAUCGGGAGAUGAAAGUGUGGGACCUUCGGGCCACAUGCCAUAGGAUGAGCCCAAGUGGGAUUAGGUAGUUGGUGAGGUAAAGGCUCACCAAGCCGACGAUCUCUAGCUGGUCUGAGAGGAUGACCAGCCACGCUGGGACUGAGACACGGCCCAG